UACGGGGGGGGCAAGCGUUGUUCGGAAUUACUGGGCGUAAAGGGCUCGUAGGUGGCCAACUAAGUCAGACGUGAAAUCCCUCGGCUUAACCGGGGAACUGCAUCUGAUACUGGAUGGCUUGAGUUUGGGAGAGGGAUGCGGAAUUCCAGGUGUAGCGGUGAAAUGCGUAGAUAUCUGGAAGAACACCUAUGGCGAAGGCAGCUCUCUGGGACGGUACUGACGCUGAGACGCGAAAGCGUGGGGAGCGAACAGG
rnacentral:rRNA from 1 species